UGAACUCUCAAAGCCCACAUCUUGAUGUGGCUUUGGACUUGGGGGCUUUUGCAGGCUUUUAAUAAAAGGCCUGCUCCCCUGAAAUUCAUUAGUGGUACCUGGAGCGGAAACCGCUAGGUGUUGAUAACAUUCAUCUAUGCCUUUGGUAUGCCGCGCGAAUGGGCUGCUUCGAAAACGCACAUGCUCUUGACAA
rnacentral:misc_RNA from 1 species